rnacentral:rRNA from 1 species
AACGAACGCUGGCGGCAUGCCUAACACAUGCAAGUCGAACGAGACCUUCGGGUCUAGUGGCGCACGGGGGCGUAACGCGUGGGAACCUGCCCUUAGGUUCGGCAUACCUCCCCGAAAGGGGUGCUAAUACCGGAUAAUGUCUUCGGACCAAAGAUUUAUCGCCUUUGGAUGGGCCCGCGUUGGAUUAGCUAGUUGGUAGGGUAAAAGCCUACCAAGGCGACGAUCCAUAGCUGGUCUGAGAGGAUGAUCAGCCACACUGGGACUGAGACACGGCCCAGACUCCUACGGGAGGCAGCAGUGGGGAAUAUUGGACAAGGGGCGAAAGCCUGAUCCAGCAAUGCCGCGUGAGUGAUGAAGGCCUUAGGGUUGUAAAGCCCUUUUACCCGGGAUGAUAAUGACAGUACCGGGAGAAUAAGCUCCGGCUAACUCCGUG